UUGAGCCGGAUGCGGGGAAACUUGCACGUCCGGUUCUUAGGGGAGGAACACGCCGCGAGGCGUGUUCCUUACCCGAC
rnacentral:ncRNA from 1 species